rnacentral:misc_RNA from 1 species
GAUGAAGAACGCAGCGAAAUGCGAUAAGUAAUGUGAAUUGCAGAAUUCAGUGAAUCAUCGAAUCUUUGAACGCACCUUGCACCCUUUGGCUAUUCCGAAGGGUAUGCCUGUUUGAGUAUCAUGAACACCUCAACUCUCAUGGUUUGCCAUGAUGAGCUUGGACUUUGGGGGUCUUGCUGGCCUGUGGUCAGCUCCUCUCAAAUGGAUUAGCUUGCCAGUGUUUGGUGGCAUCACAGGUGUGAUAACUAUCUACGCUUGUGGUUUUCCACCAGGUAACCUUCAGCAAUGGGGGUUCGCUGGGGCUCAUAAAUGUCUCUCCUCAGUGAGGACAGCUCUUUGAACGUUUGAUCUCAAAUCAGGUAGGACUACCCGCUGAACUUAAGCAUAUCAACAAGCGGAGGA